rnacentral:rRNA from 1 species
CCUACGGGAGGCAGCAGUGGGGAAUAUUGGACAAUGGGGGCAACCCUGAUCCAGCCAUGCCGCGUGUGUGAAGAAGGCCCUCGGGUUGUAAAGCACUUUCAGUGAGGAAGAACGCCUGGUGGUUAAUACCCAUCAGGAAAGACAUCACUCACAGAAGAAGCACCGGCUAACUCCGUGCCAGCAGCCGCGGUAAUACGGAGGGUGCGAGCGUUAAUCGGAAUUACUGGGCGUAAAGCGCGCGUAGGUGGCUUGAUAAGCCGGUUGUGAAAGCCCCGGGCUCAACCUGGGAACGGCAUCCGGAACUGUCAAGCUAGAGGGCAGGAGAGGAAGGUAGAAUUCCCGGUGUAGCGGUGAAAUGCGUAGAGAUCGGGAGGAAUACCAGUGGCGAAGGCGGCCUUCUGGACUGACACUGACACUGAGGUGCGAAAGCGUGGGUAGCAAACAGGAUUAGAUACCCCGGUAGUC